GAAGAAGGGGGAGUGGGGAUGGUAUAGGGGGUUUAUAGAUGGGAAACCGGGAAAGGGGAUAACAUUUAAAAUGUAAAUGUAAAUAAAAAUAUCCAAUCUAAAAAAAAAACCUGAAUGUAUUAUGGAGGCUUGUCAAGGACCAAACCUCAGAACCUUUCUUUGGAAUCGUUUUGCCACUUUAUGGUAGUGCAGUAAUAGCACCCAGCUUCCAGUUUCUGGGUACAGAGGCUGCCAAGUUCGCCCCUUUCUGUAGAGAUAUCUACAAAUACACUUUUCCCCUUUUGCCUGUAUCUCUACCUUACUGUGAGCCCAACAUUAUACAAUUGCAGGAGUUUAAACCAUAUGCACUGAUAAGUAAAAACUACCAUAGUUAAAGACAGACAGUGCGUCAAUGUAACCCACAUAGUGCAGGGCAUUGAGGAAGCCCUGGGUGACUGAAGUCCUAAAUGAAUGUACAUUGUUGAUAUGGGCACAGCCAUAACAAAGACCAAGGCAUUGGACCCAUGGCUGAUUGGCAAAGCUAUCCCUACAUAGGCCAUACUCAAAGUUGUAAAGCCUUCUUUUCCUCUGGUCCAAAUAAAAGUUUUACAGAAAAUGAUCAGUAUGUACAAACACUAGCAACUGAACCUUCUUCCUUCUCCUACAUGUUAACUGUCUGAGACUAGUUGUCUACAAAUACUAGACACCCCCUGCCCCAGUGCUGUACAUAAAAAAUAUGCUGAGAUUGGGGACAUGUUAGUAGGUGACAUUCCAUCACAGUUCAUACACCCUACUUGACCUCAGCUUUUCUGUAUGUAUGUACAUCUGUCCUUUCAUUAUUCUUUUGCUACCCUUCAUCAAAGUUCCAGGAUGCAAGCCAUGAAGAACAUAGCAGUUAUGACUACUAAUGACUACAUGACCAGUAUUAAAGACUAUAUAGACUUUUGAGUCUGGCUACCCACAGUCUACCUUCAAGAUGCCUCCAGAUCACUGUGGCAACAAUGUUUAUCUGUUUUCAUUGCUGAAUAGUAUUCCAUGUUGUGGCUAUAGAAUGUUUAUCUAUUUACUAACUAAAGAAGUUUGGGUUAUUUUUCAACAUGGGGCAAGUUUGUGCACGGUUAGGCAAAUGCGGGUAGUGGAUUACUAACACUGUUCUGUCUUCUGACUUUUCCUGUCACAUGUCUUCAUUUCCUACUUGUGCUUCCUGGGAUCACUAUCUCCAAAGACCUUUUCUUAGGUAAGAUUUGGAAGACCCACCACAAAACUUUAUGACAAUUAUACAAUGCGGAAGUCAGGUGAGAUGGGACACCAUUAGCAGUGUGAAUACUGAGAGACAGGUGCAGAAAAAUCAUAUAUAAAGCCCAAAUAAGUUACUACCUGGGGAGGGGGAAGCUACUGAGUUUGGUCCAACACUGUUUGUCAGUGCAAGCUGACCAUGCAUAGAAAAGUUUUCACCAAACUUUAGACCUCUGGUGUCUACUCCUAUAUUACACUGACAAUUUUUUUAUUUUGCUAUUUUAUAAAUUCUAUAAAUUGAAAAACACAAAAAUCCUUUACAGUUAUUAUUUCAAAGAUAACAUCUAUUAACAGUUGUGUUCAGAUACUUCAGACAGGUCCUGUACAUAAAGAGAAUUGGUGUUUUACACUAGCACGUGAAUCAUAAAAAUACUACAUCUACUCUCUAGAUAAAGGGAUAUAGCCAAUUUUGAUGUCUGUAUCUUGUCCCUCCACAUUUUCUAACAUUGCCUUAUUCCACUUAAAGAGGAAAGAGGUAAUGUUGUAGUUUGUUUUUGUUGAUGUGAUAAAAAAAAUACUUCAAACAAAAUAUCUUGGGGAGGAGAGGAUUUAUGUGGCUUAAAAUUCCUGAUCCUAGUCUAUCAUUGAGGGUAGUUGUGGCAGGAAUCCAAGUAGUAAGAGAGGCACGUACCAUAGAGGAAAGCUACUUACUGACUUGCUUCCCUGGACUUGUUUAUCUAGCUUUGUUAUACAAUCUAAGACCGCCAGUUCAGGGGUAAUACCACCUCCAGUGGGCUGAAUCCUCUACACAUCAGUAAGCUAUCAUGAAAAUACCUGUCAGACAAAUUAACAGACUAAUCUGAUCAAGGCAGUGUCCCAGUUGAGACUGUCUUAGGUAAUUCUGGGCUGUGUCAUAUUCACAAAUGAAGUUCCUCAUUGAAGGGGACUGAGGCUUCUGGAUGGAGCCCCUCCUAAUGCCCACAUUCAUGGAGACAGACAUGUAUGGCAGCAGAGAUACAGCGAGAGUCAGACCACAUAGGCCCCAUGCAGACUGAGUGCCAAUUUAAAAAAGGCUCUGAGAUCUUCAGGUCCAGGAUGAUUCAAAGCCAUCAAGAAGGAAGUGCAGAUACUGCUAAGGACAUGAAGGUGGGCAGUGGCAUUCUCUUCACAUACAUUCAUCUAUGUGACACGGAAGGUGCCCAGAAUGCUUGGCUUGAGACCCCAUCGGUUUCAUGACUAAGGAAACAGAUUAGGAGCUCUUAGCCAGUCAAAGGUUUGACAGUGAAAUAGAGCUGAGGAAUACACCAAAGAUCCUUAGAACAGCAGGAUGUAAUUAAUCAGUGUCUUAGAAAUAAGUGCCAACCAUGCCUAUGUUAGACACCAUUUCCAAUCUCUGCCCCAGUGAAUCUCAAAACAAAGAAGGAAUGAACUUUUUUCCAGAGGACAUCAAAAUUAGAGCUGGAGAAGUCAAUGUGACAAAAAGCAGCAGUCAGAAGAAUGAGAAACCUUCUGAGGAGAGGAGGCCCCUCUAGGUUGAGAGGCAUGGAGGAGUUAGGCAGGUAGACAAUCUAAAAAGUGACUGCUUUGGGGAGCAGAUGUUUGACUGGAGGAAAAAUUCACCAGCGUAGCUUCAAUGAAACAUUUAAAAUGUCUUGGGAUUAGUUAAUAAACAUUCUUAGUGCUGUUAACAAGGUUGGCCACAUGUGCUACAUGGUACACAGAUUGGCCCUAAUAUUUUUCUGUGUUCCUUGUGGAUGUCAUAUACUUUUCCAUCAACUGGGACAGAUUCAGUGAUCCAAGUCUUGGACCUGGGAAACCUACAGAUCAUGCUACAGGAUGUUUUCUACCUUGAAUUAUGAAACUGUGGGGCAGGGAAAAGGUCCAUAGAUUCUGAUGUGUGCCAGGAUUUAGAAUCUACAGAAUGAGAAGAAACCAAGGUGCAUGGCCCUGUUUGUCCUGAGGGAAAGGCUGAUCUGUAUCUGUCAUAGAAGGACCCUGGAAGUCUUCUUUAUGCUCUGUCUCCACCUGCUAAGUCUGCAGGGCUGGGCAGUGAAAGCCAAAGGAAUUAUUGAUGCUGUAAAUUUAAGGAAAUGAAGCAUUGCAGAAGAUAAUUUUCUUUUUGAUCCCUAGCCAGACGUCUUUUGAAAAGCUGCUAUAAAUCCAGUGUCCCUGAGAAGUGUCAUCUGUCCUCUCUCCCUGAAACCUCUGUGACUGCACUGAUUAUCCAGAGAGACUGCAUGGGGCCUCCUGAGUCCCAGGCACCCCUCCCUAGCACAGUGCCACAAACAACUGCUAUACUUGGAGGAGGAUAGUUCAUAAUUCCUGUCAGCCAGGAAAAUCACAGGAGUAAGAAAUGGAUAAAAGACUCUGGAAAAUGGACUCCAAAACACACCCAGGAGUUACAUAUGGAGCACUUAGCACAACAGAAUGAAGAUAAGUGAUGAGUUCUUCCUCAAAUGAUCGUGCAUCUUUCUACAUUUCCUGUCCUUUCCUCACCUGAGAAUCCUUGUCGCUUCUCAUUUGAUCCACUGAAUAUGAGACUUCACCUCCAUGCAAGUAAACAAAGGAUUUAAACUGGACAGACACACCCAAGUACUGAACUCGGGACCCCUCAGCUUCUUCACAGUGAUGAAGGAUAGGACAAUUGGGUCCCAUGGAAAUCUACAAACAACCCAGGCUGUUGCUCAAACAAUGGAUUGUUCUCUGAAAACUGACAGCAGGACCCCAUUACUGAGGACAACAUUCACACAACUCAUUGGACAUGGCUUUACACUGAAUGCAACAGAGAUUUUGUGUUGCUGUUUGAUGAGACCAAAUACCUAAGCCAGGUGAGCUCCUAUCUACUAAAUAAAUACUGGGUGCUGUCUUUUUUGUUUGCCUACAGGAUAACAGAUUUAGUUGCGUAUCUAAAGCAGUAAUUACCCUAAACUUUCAGAAACACACUAAAUAUUUAAAGCAACUCAGUCCUAAUGCCCUACAAAUCCUUUUUUUGCAUGAAUACAUGGUGUGUCCUUGCAUGUGUGCAUGCCUACUUCUACACAGGUAGGUACAUUUGUGCAUUGAGUAUGCAUGCAUAUGCAAGUGCAUA
rnacentral:sRNA from 1 species